rnacentral:lncRNA from 1 species
UUCGAUUCCACAACAGAACGAACAAUGAAUGAAUGUGGGCGGUCAACCAGGUAAGCCUGUGCCCAGGAAAGAAAGGACUAGGGAGGGAUUGAGAGAAGCUUUCACAGUGGAAAAUGCAAAAAAGCAUAUCGUUCUUAGAAAUUGUGGAAUUUGACUCAGUUAGAGCUAUGGUUUAGCAUCCUUUUGUCGUACAAUGCAUUGGUGGGAUGAAGGUGCUAGCUUGGCUGAGAUAGGAAGUUUCGAUGUGUAUGUAGAUUUGGUUCUAGUGCCCCCACCCUUUUCGAGAUCUGUCAGGAUUAGCAAGAUGUUCUGGUGUAAACUAUAGAGAAAUGGAAUGAAUGAAAUGUAUCUAAGAAGAAAGGAAGCCAUGCUCCAUCCUGUUUCUAAAAAGAACAUCACCUCCCUUUUUGGUUAGAUACCGCUCCGUUAGGUACUAAUGCUUCUACCUAUCACCCGGAGGGUGAGUUUGAGAGCUGUGUUUUUUUCCAACAUUAAUAGCAUUCCGCGAGAAAAGUCAUCUACUGAUGUUGUCAGCGGAGUCCCUCGUCCAUCCAUGUAUGAAUAGCGGUAUCCCCCAUUUUGGACAGUGAUGAGGUAGUCGACGCAAUUUGCAUGUGUAUUUGCGUUCGGCUUUGCUACUUUCCUUCUAGAAAAGAAUGUCCGCAGAAGGGAAUAGUCUACGUGGCCCGGGGUAGUCUUUCAAUUCCUUUAUCGGGUGGGAGAGUUUAGAACCAGUUAAUCCAAUAGCUGCUGCUUUAGUCACACUAGCUACAUCAGUUGAUCAUGUAUUUAGCAUACCACCUCAGAAUAGUCUACGUGGCCCCUUGUUUUUACUACAAUUUGAUAUAGUGAAUCCAGUAAUGCAGACAGCCCUUUUGAAAGCGCUUUUAAAGCCCCUGACUCUCAAAAAGAGCUGGAGGUUUUGCCUCAACUCAUUCCAUGAAUGUUGUUUCAUUCCCCACGCGGCUGAAUCCAACUCAGUCUUUAUCCUGCCUUGGAGUUCUCUCUCAUAACUGAAGCCAGGAGGUAUUCGAUUUAUCGGAUUUCGAGCUAGCUGCCCUUUUCUUGCUCCUUGCCAUUAGCGCAGCCCUUUUCUUUUUCUUAGCUAGCGUAGUUUUUCACCUUCAAAAGAAGGCGCCAGCGCUUUUGUAGUGACCCCGGAGGGGUCCCGGGUUGCUUUGGCGCGCCCCACCCCGUCAGUCCUGUGUUGUACUUGACUUGACUCUCCCCCGCUUGCUGCUUGCUGAUCGCAGUGUUCAAAAAUGACACGAAGCUGGAUAUGAGUAGAUGUUGUUGGUCGAAAACGUCUUUCAUUCACAAUGAAACAGAAUGGUCUCGCUCGAUGCGUCAUUUUAGAAUGUGUAUUUUCAUAUUAAGAGUUCUUAAAAGUUCUCAACUCAAAGCCCAACCGUCAAAAGGAUGCUACAAUGUUCGAAAUUAUCAACUUAACAUGCCCCCUUACUUCCUUCGUGACCUCCCACUACUUCAUCUACCGAAAUGAUUAGGCAGAUCUCGUUUUUUCUAGCAUUAAACCUGCUCAUGAUCCUUUAUAGAGCAUGGAGCAGACAGAGAGAUGAAAGGACCACCUUCUCCUGCUUGCUUGAUCAGAAUCUAUUCACAUUUAGAAUAGCUGAAGUGCUACUUAACUUCACUUAGUAGUUGAAACUCGGAGAGACAGAGAGAGUCCUCUCUCAUACUUGCCAAUUCCAAGGCUGAUCAGCAAGGGAAUUGGCAGGAACCAACCUUCGUUGCCCCUCGGUAGAGUGAGUCUACUUAGCGAACUGGCAGGACGCGGAGAUCGAUUGAUCAAUAUGCAUAUCGAGAGUUGAUGGUUGACCGCCGCCCCCCUUGUCCUGCCCCGGCCGGGGAGGCAAAGGGGAUUGCUAUCGUCACCCUUUCUCCCGGUGUAUGUGAAAGAGAAAAAGUGACGCACUUUUUGGAUUUUCGGUCUGCGGUUGGUUGGGCCAAAGAACGAGAGUCAGCUUCCUUAAGUCCGUUCUUCCUCAGUAGCUCAGUGGUAGAGCGGUCGGCUGUUAACUGACUGGUCGUAGGUUCGAAUCCUACUUGGGGAGAUUUGAUUCAUUCAGAAUUCGAAUUGAUAGUUAUAGCUUUUCUGACUAGCGACCCCUGUCCUUCUCCUUUUUUUUCUAAAGACGCAGCAGAAUCGUCAAACGGGACAUCAAAAGUGGGAAGUUGAUUGUAGGAUUUCUAUUCCUCACUCUCGUAUAGGUGAACUUGGUUCGUUCAAUGAAAAGGGAUAAGAAGGAUCCACUGGGAAUGAAUGGGAAGACUGGGGUAGUAUCUUCAUUAGCCGGAAGGAAUUAGUCUCCACUAGNNNNNNNNNNAUCCUAUCCUAUUUUUGAAGUCAUUUUUGCAUUCGAAAUUAUUUUCUUUCGCAAGAGCACUCAAACAUAGAUUGAAGAUCUUCAGUUCUUCGGUCGGCAGCCGCAGUCAGUAAUAGCAAGCAGCGUCCCAUACUACUUUUCCUUUGAAUGUUCAUUCUGGAAUUGAAUGUCACAAACAAGACUCAUACUUCAGAAAAAAAACUGCUUGAAUCAGGAGCUGUAAUCCGCAGCUUUAGAGAUAGGGGCGGCAGUCACAGCAUUGGCAGCAGUGAGCAGAGGUCAAGAAGAAGAAGCGGUAAGAGCAGUUAGAGAGCAAGCAGCGGCUCAUCAAACCUUUCUGUUUCGGUUACAGCUCAAGCGGUUUGUUUUCAAGUAAGGUACUCAAGCAAGCUUUCCUCCUGAAGACAGAGUUUCGGGUGAGCUAGCAAAGAAAGUCAGCAGUUAACCGGAAAUUUAGGUCAAAUUAGCAUUUCGUAAGUUUUAGUAAGGCCAGUUAUGGGAAGCAGGCCAUGGAGAAAGAGAGCUCUUCACCCUAUAUCAAAAGCGUCUGGUGGUCAAUUAACUGCCUCCUCAAAUCCUGAACAAGCUCCUAUCGCCAUGCACACUCACAAUUGACAUUAGAUAGGCAAUUCAAUAGUUAUCGACGAAAGGAGUUCCCCUUCUCUUGGCCAAUUGACGUUCUGCUUCAAUAAGUCAUGACCUUCACUCUCCUCAAGUGAGGAGGGCAUAUUGUUUGACCAACGAAAGCCUCACUAGUUCCUUCUUCCCGUUCACUAUUCCCGUAGCCUGAUACGAGUUAUUUAGUUCGUGUCUCCUUGUUCUUGGGAAGAACCGAAGGUUCAUUCGCGGCACUCGUAGACAUAGUUGUAUUUCAUACCCUCUUCUUUCCCUAAAAAGCUAAUAAAUCAAAACAAGAGAAAAGCAGAAGCGAAAGCUCGAGUCGAAGAGUGGAGGUCGCUCGGUAACUCGAGUCGAUCAGUCCCAUUCAUUCUUGCCCGAAACAAGUGGGCUAUUCAUUCCGGUGCCACCUUUGUUCAAUCGAGUCCAUGUUCUCUAUUUCCCAAAACCCAUUCGUUCACCGACCCGUGGACCAGAGGUUUAAAGCUUGGAAUUGAGCUUUCUAGCUUUCUUUAGUACAAUCUUUUUGCGAGAGCAACCCCGGGUUCGUUCCUAAGACUACACUCACAGCUUUCUCUGUUCAUGUUCCGGCAUAGGAGAUCUAGUGGUAGGAUAGGGGACAGAGCUUUAGGGCUGCAGUAAACCUCAUAUGCGCGUGGCUCAUCAUAAGACCUUAGCCUGAUGUCCUACCCAAAGACUUCAAAGGUAGUCACAGGACAACCUUUCCGAGUUCUAACUUCCAAACCUAUAACUUGGUUUGCUUGCCUGCUUCCUAUCUGACCUAUCAAUCAAAGAAAUGUUCUAGUUCCGCGAUACGAGCUUGACUGUCGCUCUGAGACAGUAGAUUUCUUGGUUGGGGGUCCCUUUAUCAAAGGCUCCCUUCCCUACUGAUCAUACAACAAAUGAAGGUGGUUAGAAAGAUGGCACAUCGAUCUUCUGUACACCCUGUUCGUGCUGCGGAACGCAGAAAAUCCGCCUUCCUUGGAAAAAAAAUCCUGACUCCGAAGUAUCAAAGGAGACUUGGGUGGCGCCUUCUGAAGAGCCCUUCAUUCUGCGACUCAGAUAGGCUAGGAUUCGUGUCUCAGCCGGAAGGGGUCGUAGGACUGACUCAGACAAAGCGUUAGAAGUACGAUCUCCGAAUCUAUAAGCUUUGGCCUGCCUUCUUCCCUUAUCUAAUCUCUUAGGUAAUAAGAAAGUGGUGUUAAUUGUCACGCUAAGGAGCUGACCAGUGACAUUUCUGUCUCAAUUGAAGUCAACCUUACUAUACUCGCUUGUAGGAGAUCAUCGCUCAGAAGGGCGUUCUUUCGCUAGAAAAACAAGAGUUUGAAGAUCACCCAACCCACGAAAAGGUCAGAACUCUCGAUCUAGCCCCACUUUCUAUAGCAAUUUAUCGACAUGUUGUUUCGAAUGUCCUUGAAAAGGCCUACACACAUACCCUGCCACUCGAUGUGUAGUGGGUUUGUUCAGUAGAGAUGGGUAGAGCGCACAAGUAUUGGAAGGAAAGUUUCACCCUUCUUAAAAGAGAAAAAGUCUGUAUUGAACUAUGAUUUGAAUUCCUUUCUUAUUAGUUUCCAAGUGCAAAAUGUUCAUUGCCUUGAUCAGAGCCUUUAAGCCUUUUAGAAGCGAGCAUUUCCGCAGCUUCUAUUUUUCCUAAAGCUAAUGAACCGAAUGGAAGAGAAAAACUUGGAAUAAAUAAUAAAGAAGGAACCAACAAGAAAAUAAAGAAUUGUUCCAACCUCGGCUCGGGGUCUGUCUGGAAAUGGAAAAUAGUUCUCUCUCUCAUCUGGUCUCGCCACAGUGACAAGAAAAACAAGUGAAUAAUUGGAAUAGAACGCAAUCGUCAACCAAAAUCGGGUAGGAUGUAUUAUAAAAGAAAGCCUUGCCUCACUCGCAAGUGAGGACCUCACCCCUCCUUCCUCAUUUAUUGAGAAUGGAAAAAGACAAUGUUCAUUGCUUCCUCAAAACAAGAGUUCCACGGGCGGCUGCUCCUGAACGAGCUGCUCAUGCUCAAACUGAUCAACAUAAAGUGGAAAGUGUAGUAGAGAUAUUACUCGCAGUAUGAGAAGGAAGAGAAGAUCUAACCUCUCUACUUGACACCUCUGAACCAACUUCAUUCCUAGCUAAAACAGGAAAGCUGAAAGUACUCAAGCUUCAAACUCCUUGCUAACAGCCCUACCGAUAAAAGGAAUAAUGCUUCAAGGACUAUAUGACUAGCUCUUAUACGAGUUCCUGGUAAACCACUACUUGCGUAAAGUACUCCGCUCGCUCCCCUGCUCGUUCAAAGUAUUCCACUCGCUAGGAUCUUAGUAAAUAAGCUUGCUCCUUACCUUUCCUUCCUAGCUUUGAGAGCAAUACUACCUGUAAUAACACAAUGAACUUAUCCUACUUAGGGAACAGGCUGGCAUAAAGGGCAAAAGAGAAAGAGUUACACCCGGUCUAAAACCAGGUGGUGUUACUUUCCUGCUUCCACCUGAACCUGCUUGCAGGCCUUAUAGAAAAGUAUUGUAUAAGAUAACUAGCUUGACAACAGGAAUUCUCUAACUUACUUGUAGAUAACGAACUUGCUGAAGGAGGUUAAGAUAGUUUUCCGUUAAUGGGGAGAGAGAAAAAGAGUCCUCACUUUCAUAAUCGGUAAUCAGAGUCCAGGCUUCCUACACCCAUAUUUUACGACAACCUAUGAACCGACUAACUCAACAGCUGGCCUUAGAGAAACUGUCCUAACUUAUCCAAGUAGUCCUAAUAAAUGGCCAUGAUGAAAUACUCUUCCUUUCCCUGCGGCACUCGCUUGAAGGACUCAAAAGCUGACUAAUGCUGAUAGGAAGAACUUUCAAAGUUCUCGUUAGUCCUUUCAUUGAAGCUAGUGACAUCAUCUGACUCUAUCAAUUCAUUUCUAUCUUCUUUUUCUUUCAUUUAUCUCUUUCCUAUCUAGACAGUGUAUUACCCCAAAAGAUAGUGAGUUAAGCAAGCAUGUGGGAAGUAAGCGAGCAGGGUGAGGCGGCGGCUUGUAGAAAAUCCUCAAUAUCUAUAUCGGAGUCAGCAUCCGUUUUUGUUUGAGUUUCGCUGUUAGCUUACGUCUUUUUAGCUAGUUCGACGUGUUUUCAUUAGUCCUUCAAGCAAGUGAGCCAGUCGCGGUAGAUCUUUUUAGCCUUUAAGUAGUAGUCCUGUUCGAAAGAUAGUUAUCAUAGUGAAGUGAGUUAUUACAGUUUUUCGAGUUUCUUGAAGGCCAGGCAGUCAGCCAAGGAAGGAAGUUAUGGUGUGGAAGUCUUCUAGUCUGUCUUCCCCUUCAAGCUCUCGAGUACACUAGGGGAGAGGUAUCGAAAGUCAAAGUAUAAAUCAAAGUGAAAGUAAGAAGUAUAAGUAGUAGGCUAUCGAUUAGGUUUUUCUACUUAAUUAAGCUGCUUAUGCAAAGUUUUAGAAUUUGUUCACAUAGGCAGCGUGAUUGGGGGCAUAUUUGUUGCUUCCCAAGGUAGUUAGUUCACCACACAGGCAUGUUAGUACUAAACUGCAGAAAACUAUUAAGUCAUCCAAUUCAUGCCGCAUUGCAAGAUUACUCUACCACUCUAUAAAUGGUAUAUAGAUAAGUGUCUUCACUUCAUCAAAUGAAAAUCAAAGAAAUUGAGUACUAACACGUAUUGCUAUGGAUGCUGCAAACAGGCUUUCGGCAGCAAUUCCAGAAAAAAGGAAUAGGUGUUUUAGCCAGGUCAUCAAAUCAGGGGGGAUAUGCCAAGAAGAAAUCCAUGGAAAUCAGCAUUCCAAGAACAAUAAGUUGGCACUUUCUUUCAUAUAUAAACUAUUUAUUGAGGGAAAAGAUAUGAAAAACUAGAGUGGAAUCGAUUGAAUGCACUAUCGUUAUGCUUUGGCCAACCCUCUUUUCCAAGUUCCUCUUGUUUAUCCAAUCUGUAUUCCAAUCAGAAAUCCAAGGUAAGAUCAAGCCAAAGGGGAAUCUAGGUACCGUUGACCCAGGAAAUCAAGUAUCAAAGGACCCGGGCAAUAGGUUUAUGACUGAGCUGAAACUAGAGCAGGGAAUAGCAGGAUGCCUAUGUUUCCAAUACAGAAAUCCUUAACAGAACAGAGCACAGACAAUAGGGCCAACUAUUGAUCUUACUUUCCCUCAAUAAAUAGUUUGGAUUGGAUAAACAAUCCUACUUUCAUUCCAAUCAUAAAACAAGGGAAAAGAUCAAGGGAGAAAACCCUUCCAAGAAAACUAGUAACCAAACCCUGACGAACUUGCAUUUGUUGAGCGAAAAGAAGAGUUCAACAGGAAGAACGUAUGAAGAGAUUGAGAUGUUUGGAUCUUGGCUAAAUUUAUAAGCGAAGAAUGCACGUGAAGUAUUCAAGGUACAUUCGACUAUAUCUCAUUCUAUAGAAACCAUUUCUCAAUCUAUAGAAACCAUUUGCUUUAGGUAGACCUGAUGGUACUUCCACUAUUUUGGCAUCUUAUGGAACCCAAUUCGAGAUAUAUAAACUAGAUCCUUGUUAUUAGAAUGAUGAUCUCUUGGCUAUGACUGAGUCAUAUAUUAAUGGAAAUGGUUUUCUCCUCCGAAAGUCCAAGUUGAGUCCAAGUAGUGGCAAACUAGAAUCCUUCUUUUCUUUUCCCUUCGUAGUUAGUUUCAGUUCAAAUGACGAAUUGAGACAGAAACCAAUGGAUUCCAAUGGCUGGGGGAUCCUAUGUCUAUAGAUAGAUUCAAGUACCAUUCUAUACCCCUUCCCUAGCGCCCUAUAGACCUAUUUUGCUAAGUGGGUCCUACUUAGCUGGUCGGCCUAGGGGGGGAUGCAAUUCAAGAGACAAGUUCUACAAGUUCUCAUGGCCGAGAUCCCCGUAUUGGUAACGGGGCUGGUGCUGACUCGUUCAGAGAACAGACCCCCGAUGUUCUUGGGAAGAAAGAGAGAAGGACGGCCCUGUAAGGGAGAUCCUGUGUUGGAAGAUAUUGGUGGGUGUCAUCUCGUUCAAUUCUGGGUCAAAUGACAAGAGGGCCGUUCAAGCAGAUUAGAAGUAGAUGUUGUUGAGAAAAGGUCAAAGUGCCACUAUGGAGGUCGGAACAAGCGUCUACCUACCAAGUGAAUUGUGAUUGAAAUGACGAUGGCAACAGGUUGAGCUCUAUCCACUGAAAUUGAAUCCAUCGAUGCGGUAAAGGACAGAGCAGAAACAAAUCCUCCAUUUCCCUGCCUUGCGACCGAACAAAGAAGAAAUGCUAGAGUGAGGAGACCUGUUGGUUGACCAACUGAAGGAAACGACGCCUCUCCUGCUUUGCUUACUUUUGGCCAGCAUUCGUCUUCGGCUUACAGUAGCGUUUGCAGCUCUAUUGGAAAUCGAAUUUCUAUGUCCGUCCAUAAAAAGCAUCAACUUCUAGUGCCGCCAUCCACCACAAGAGUAGGUAACCUGCUCGCUCUUUUCUCUAUUGGGGGAUCUAGGUAUAUCUUCCAACUCUCCUUCCUGCACACUGGCAUACAAAGCAGCCUCAUAAACUGCAUUUUGUAACUGAACCUCCACAGUUUUCAAACCUAAGGGUGGAUCAAAAGGCACCGGUAUUCUCUAAUCUAACUUGAAUUCAGAUCAAUAAUCAAGGGGCACAAGAAGAAGGCAAGAGCGCGGUUCCGGCUAAAACCAACUCUGCGAGGAAAGCAGAACUCAGCGGUGACUGAUCCGCUCGAACCACACUACUUACUUAGGCUCACUUACGAGAGCUCCCCUGACUCUGAUCUCUGAUCUAGUAGAUGCGAGAAAUCAAUCCAACUCCAUCUGAUCUUAUGAUCUUUGCAGAGGACAAAGGUACUAGGGAUAUUUCCUCCAUUUAUAUUCGUAAGAAAGAACUCCCACUAUUCGUUUGUAUGAGCCGGGUCUUGGUGAAUCAAAAAAAGGCGUAGAUAAUGCGCAUUGCUUUUGAGUUCGAUUUGAACUAACUAGUUUCCACGGUUCUCCAGGAACCUACCGUUUGUUUGGAGUAUAGCCAAGUGGUAAGGCAUCGGUUUUUGGUAUCGGCAUGCAAAGGUUCGAAUCCUUUUACUCCAGAUUAUGAAGACCCGAUCGGAUUUGUCAAGAACGAGCUAACAACUACAGGGGAAGCGGCUCAGUAUCAACAUACCACCUGCCCAUCUUAUCAAUGACAAUCAUCCGUUUGGACGAGGCCAUUCUAAGGGUUGUUUAGGAUUGGUAUCUGCUCUCUUCCCACGGAGUUCUUGUCCCCAUGACCAGUAUCAGCAGAGGCAAGACCUGUAAGCAUCAAGCCAGCCAAGAAGUAGAAGUUGGUAAAGAUGGCACAAACAAAAGAAGAAAGGAACUUGGUUGGUGAUCUUACAUACGGGAGGCCUUCUAUAGAGUGAGGCAAAUAGCGAUUUUGCUAUAGAUACUGGGAUCAGAAAAUGGUAGUGGAUGUGGACGCCGAACAGGUGGCACGAAAUGCUCGUUCAACGGACGGAGUCAUACCACCGCCUCCUCCUGCAAACGAGCAAGUUCUAAGCUUUAUCGAUCUUCUCCGGCUCACGAAACUCUGGUCUAAUGCCCGCCUUUAGAAAGGACCUGUUUCUUCCUAUUAUUCAUAUCCGCUAGGGGUACGAAGGAGAAGGAGACCGGAUGCGUUAAGCUAGUUGGUAAGAGUUCUUGUCAUUAUUGAUAGUGGCCCUAGAGAAAGAGCUUACGCUGAUUGUUCUAACUUCAUUCAUAUUUGAUUCCGCAACUGAGACCUUUUCCACAUCUGUGCCAGGAGGGCAAGCGGUCAAAGCAGAAAGGGUUCUCGCUUCUCCGUCUGGAAGGACACCAAAUGGACCAAAUCCUAUUGAUCUUUCCUUACGACUCGACUUCAAAAAAAAAGGCCGCAGAGGGCUAAAGGCAGUAUCUUUAGUCUACCCAACUCCCUUGCUGCCUAUUUCCUUUUAUACGGUCAUUCCGUGGGGCCACAAGCACCAUCAAUUGCAUUAUCCCCGGUACCACACAUCACUCCAAUCAGAAUAAGCGGGAAUGCUGGUUGGAAAGACAGAGAAAUAGAAUAAUGAGAAUCAUAUGGUCUGCUUGGGAAGAUAAGCGAAGAAAGCUCUAAGGUUUCCCUUCCUGCAUUCAGAGCUUAUCAAUUCGUCCCACGCUAUAUAGUGAAGCAAAGCUAUCUAUAAAUCGAGCAUAUCUUUUAUCCGGAAGGUAGUGGGCUUUCACCCGUACUCGCCCUUCCACUUCACACUUACUAAAUUAGGCUGAGUGUAUGCGCACAUGAAAACAAACAGAAAACGAGUGAGCACUUUCUUUCUAUAGACAACGGUCAAGUCUGCGAUCCAAACAGUGAUGAAAAGAAUUCUCAAAUCAUUCGCGGAUGGACGUGAAAGAAGGAAGAACCAAAUGGCACUGCUUCCUCAAAGCGAGCUUCGGGUACCCGAUCAAGGGACUAAUGAAACACCAGUACAUGUCAUACAGAAGCUCCACUCAUCCCUCCGCCAGCCCAACCUAAGUUUCUAUCGGACUGAGCUAUUCUUCAAUCCAGUGCCCUAAUCCUUUCGAACUUGGGUCCAGAAAAUAGUGCUAUUGUACAACCUGGGGAAGUCAAAGCACAUUCUAAGUGGGCCGCAUGGGUCGGCCCUUUCACCUCAUUCUUUUCCGUUUCCACGCUCUGAAACCGGGUUCUUUCACUUCAAUCUCUCUCAUAAUCAAGCUGAGAUAUGAUGCUGUUUCAUCCUAGAAUUAUGAGAAAUCCCUUGUUAGCUGGGACGGACCCUUAGUAUAAGAUAAGUCAACACAACAGGUUGUGUCAGUUUCUCAAAAGACAUGGGCUCGCCUUUCGGGGUGACUAGCUGCAUUCAUUGGUUUGCUUUCUUCCACCAACUUCACAACCAUCCUUCGUUGAUGACAGGCAAGCUCAACCACAGUUUCCGUAGUUUGGUUCAAUUCAUUCGGCAUUUCCAUUUCCAAUUGGUAAGUUCUAUUUUCUCCGACCCAAGGAAGAAGAUCACAAGCGGGAGUCCCCUCUAGGAAGAGAUGCUUUCCAAAGGCCGUACGCUACUGUUGAAUGGCCAAAUAGGGAUUGAAACAGAGUAAAUAACUAGAGUAUCCCGUCGUAGUGGUAGCUGCAUUUACGCGACCGGGUCCGAGCCACGGGACAAGACCAAAUUGGAUUGGAUUUGUCACAUCCGCGGAUGGAAGACCGUAGAUUUCUCACUUUCCCUACUCGGAGAGCACGUGUAUGUAGUCCGCCUGUAUCUACUUAUUUAUUCGGAGAGCGCCAUUAAUAGGAUUCAGAAGUCGUACAAGCUAUGGCGGAGCCGUUUACCAAUGCACCCAGUUCUCCUCAUAUUUGAUUCUUUUUUUGGUAUCAUUGGUUCCACGUACGUCUUUUGGGCGAGCUUUCUUCACUGUCAUCAAAACCAACGCUCAAACCGAAGCUUUCCGAGCAGUUGUUUAUUUCUCACUUUAGCUGCUGUCGUUUUCCUCUUCCGAAUUCAGCGAGUGAAAAACAAGGGGAUCAGAAGAACAAACAAUAAGAAUGAGGGAUUGAAGUCCGUUUCCUUCGUAUCGUAUUUCAACGGAUCGGGUAGUUCUAGUCUUUUUUGAUUACUCCUUCCUUUUUCCCAUCAUUUGACAUAACAUAAUUAAGAAACUGUUUGAUGGUCAACGGAACGAGUAGAGAAGAAAAAUGCCCUUAUUCCAAAGGAAGUGAGUGCCAAAGCGAAAAUAGAGUAAAGAACAAAAGAACGAAAUGCAAGGGUUGCAUCCGCUGUUUCAAGUCCGGACGGUUCCUCCGCUAGGUUAUUGAGUUGGCUCCCCCGUUAUUCUUCAUCAGACAACGCACACUUAAUGGAAAAACGAGGUAUCUUUUUGGAAAACUUCUCUACUUACGACUUUGUUAGCGCUUUGAGGGCUUCACUAUGUUCUCUGAAAUCUUGUAUAAAUAAGAAAGAAGUCUUUCUCAGGAGAUGACUCUGCUGAUACCGAGUUUCAAUGCAAAAUGGCUCCCGCUUCUUCUGAAAGAAAACUGGGGAAAAAUCAAUAUGGAGCCGUCAGAGGCUUAUCUGGCCGAUAUGACUUCCUGAAAUUCUUUCCUGAUAAAAACCUAAAAUGGAGGGGUUGGGGCUUUGGCUCCAGGCUCAAACUCUAUCUUGUGGUAGACUGCCCUCCUAGGGAGCGCUUGGGCAACUAACUUGUGGGGCAUGACAUCCCAAAUUCAUCAUUUACAUUAGGAAUUUCCUGAAAAAAAGUCUUAUGUGUAUUGGAUCCGCUCUUCUGUUAGCAUGAACACAUGAAUGAGAUUCUUCUUAUUCUUCCUAAAUAGAACCCCCCACCCUCACCUUUCUUAGGACUAUCAAGCCUUCUCGAAUUAGGUCUAUGGUAGAAGCUUUGAACGUAGACCCGGAUACAAAUCUUUCACUCACUGAAAAGUGAAAACCUGUGACUAUAUCGUCCUGAAGACGGAUGCGGCGGGAAGAAGUGGCAUUUAGAAGUGUUGCUGACUUUACAUUUAGGUUUCGGCAUAACAAAGCUUGCACUGUCUUUUCGCACUUAGGCGCACAGCGUGCCGUUGGUAAUGAUUCUACUACGGUGCUGCAAAUUCGCAAGCUGAUCCUAAGUAAUCGUUGUUGUUCAUUGGAUUCCUCCGGAAUUACUUCGUUAGGAUUGAAGAAUUGCAGCAAUUCUUCCUGAAUAGACUCGAUUCUCCCGUCGAGAGUUUCUUUGAAAGUCUUACCUAAACUCUUCCGACUGAAUAUGAGAAAGCCUAUAAAACAACGAGCUACUAUCAUUUCUUCAUUAUAGAUUGAGAUCUUCUUCGGAAUUGAUGCACAAAUAGAUGGAAUAGCAGCAAAUAGCAUAUUUCUAUCCUUCAUAUCCGUAGAAAGAAAUCUCAUCUCCAGGUAACUCCAUCUUUUUCAGCUCUGCUCGCUCACUUUUGAAAGGAAAGGAGACUGAUCUUGACGUCGGCGUUGGUUUUUUCCAACGAAACGAAGAAGUUUUGGAUUGAGAUUUCACAUAAGCAUUGCACAAUGAUUCGCAUUAGGCGGGGAGCAGCAAUGAUACCGCUGGCCGGGAAUAAGUACCUAUCCCUCUACUACUUACGAUGUUUUUCGUUCUAUUGAAAUCCUGCGUCGAGCCGAUGUUUCAUUGAUCGAUACCGGGCACAUCCAUCACAUCAACUAUUUCACUUUUCAUACGCAUUUAUUGACGGACCGGUAAACUAGACCCGAAAAACUCCUAUUUUUAAAACGAAAGACCCAUCACAAAAUUAUGGCGCAACGCUAUGACGAGCGUUCUCACAGGCCGGCACCUCGAUGCAUCCGUCUCAGGAGUUGUACACCUUACAUGUGCUUCACGCCACAAUCUCUCACUUUCUGCUCCUCCAUCUGUCUCCAUCAUAUAAUCGAUCUCACCUCUCAUGUCUGAGUGAAAAAACCAUAUUUGUUAGUAUAUAUCAAGGCCGAGAGGACACGUUCCUCUCAUGUCGAGAUUAGUAUUAGGGACCCUUAGUAUUAUUAAUCGGUUACUAUACGUACAUGCAGUGAGAUAAUCAAUCUAUGCUCUCAUUCACAUUUCAUUCUAGCACUGACGACUCCAGCCCUAUCUAUCCCUAGAAGCAAAUGGACCCUAGAAGCAAAUGGAGUAAGUCCGAUGGAACACUCGGAUUGGAAAAGAUAAUUAUACUUAUAGGCAUGGAUGAAAAAAAAAGCUUGGAAACUAGUUCAAAUCGAACUCAAAAGCAACUAGGCAAUCCAACUUCCAUUGAAGCAGCUUCCCUGGAACUAGCUGCCAUUGUAUCGGUUGGUGCCAUUUCUUCUCUUGGAGGCAGGGCAAUAGAUUAAGAUUAGGCGGUAAGCGAAGGAACUGUAGGGCUUAGGGCUGCGGGUGAGCGCAACUUCAAUAGGUCGAGGGGAGGAAGAGAAGAAAAAGCAGCUAUUUCACCUGGUGUCGUAAUAACCACUGUUUUCGGGUUUGAAGGCAUAAGCGCAGCAGAGAUCUUCUUUCAUUUAAGAAGAAGCCACCGUAAAGAAGAGGAAACAAGGCGUUUAAGGGACACCGACUCCCAUUAUUUUCUCCAGGCCUGCUUUGGCUAAAUCGACGGAGGCUUAGCUUAUUAUGUUUCCGGCGUUUAGCUAGCUUAGAGAAUAAAGAAAUCUAUCUCUAAAGGGGGAGCGGUACGACUAUUUUAGGUUAGAGGAAGGUUGAAGAGAGAAUAGCUAAAAUAGCCAGUCGGGUAGGCAAGUGCGGGUGGCUGUGGUCAAAGUGAAUAUGUCUUGUUUCGGUUAGCGGUUUCGGCUCUCCGGCACCGAAGUAAACUCUUUCUAUUGCGGGGCCUAUGGAGUUUGGGGAUGAGUGCUGACACUUUACUGUGCAACAUUCCUGUUUCUUUCAUUCCCCUUACUAGAUCAAAGAGGGCAUAUGUGGGGUUUGAAGAUGCCUGGACCUUACCACCUUAUUCUAAUAGCCCGCAUCAAUGCCUCUGCCCAGAACAUAGGAGCCCCCUGGGUUCAAGAUCUCAUAUCAAUUUUCAACUGCUGGGAAAGAAUUGGGGUGCGGCAGGAAGAAAUGGAAUUAUCAAUAAAAGUAUAAACAGGUCUUCCCCACUGCUGCAUAGAAUCUGAGCUGGGUGGAAUUGAAGUUCGGUUUUGAUCAAGACACCCCUGCCUACUUACCUUAAAAAAACGACUAAUGAUCAACCGAUCACAGAGGUCCUUUUCUAGCAACUUCAAAUCAGAAAGCCCCGACUCCCAUAAAGAAUGCUUGCAGAUCUUUCUUUUUAUUACGAUGACGAUAUGGACCUCAUUACUGUCUCAUUUUCUUAUAUUUAUAUAAGUUCUUUUUUUUGGAUUCGACAUAACAAGAACAGAAUCACGCUCUGUAGGAUUUGAACCUACGACAUUGGGUUUUGGAGACACACGUUCUACCGAACUGAACUAAGAGCGCUUUCCGGGAGAUAAAGCAGUAAAGAAAAGGAUGAUUUUUGUACCGCAUGCAUAUAGAAAAAUGAAACUCUGAAUUUUGUCCAAUUUGAAUCGAUCUCAAUUGAUCCCUCGUUACUGCCCAUAGGAGAAGUAAUAGGUAGGGAUGACAGGAUUUGAACCCCUGCCUUGUUUUCCACAUCAUAAUUUAUUCCUCUAUCUAUAUACAACUUUCUUGUCAUUUCUUCUUUUUGGUUUCAUAUAAUAAAUGAUAUACAUCUGAAACCCAACCUAACGUAUAAAGAAUGAAUAUUUAUCGGUAAUGCUCAGGAAGAAAGAAGGGGUCAUCUUUUUGAUUUUUAUUCCACCCUCAUGUACCCUUCUUUGCAUUUUUUCUAAAGCCUGUUCAACCUCAUAUCACCUAGAACAAGUCAUGGACUUCUUCAAUGAAAGAAAGUCUCAUGGAAACGUUUUCAACGAAAUAAGAACCAUACAAAAUAGAUUUCUUGAUCUUUUUAUUUAGGAAAACGGAUUUUUUCGCAGUUUUAUCUUUUAUCCUAAAGAUAUGCAGAACGAGUGUAUUAUGAAAUGUUCGUUGUCUAUCUUUGCAUACAUCGCUACUUAAUCGUUUAGUGGUUAUCGAUGAAAUUACUUCACCAUAGAGAAAAUAUUAUGGAAGUUUAUAUAUAUAUAUAUAUAUAUAUUAUUGGUUGCUUUUGUUUAUGUCCAAUUGGAAAAGUUGAUCUUCUAAAUUCAUAUGUUUAGCCUAAAGUACAUAACUUGUGUUCCUCCCUAGUUCUUGCAAAGCCACCUAAUCAAGCCUCACCUCAUUUGUAGUUAUAACAUGUUCAGCUGAAAGCAAACUCCAAAUAAAAUUGGUUUACUAUUAGUAACACAUAUACUUUUUUUACCUUAGCUCUUUCUUUAUUGUUCAUUGAGCAGUUCAAAUGCUUUGAUUGCUUAUCAGAUAAGAGGUAAAAAUAUUCUUCAUUCGUUUACUUUGUUAAUUCCAAAUUGCAUUCAAAUCCAUUCUUUCUCAUAACUUGAGAAUAUGUACAGCGCAGAACAGAAAAGAAGGCAGAUUUGAUGAGUUGUAGGGGCGGACCCACUUCUACUGAUUUCUUGCGGGAAGGUUCUAUAAGGGAAGAAGAAUCAGAGCUGUGACCUGGUAACCUUGAUUUCUUUCGGAACGUCAUUACGAGAGUAAAAAAGAAAGAAUAACGUAGAUAGGAAGGAGCGAGCCGAGCCCCAAGGAUAAUGAAUUGGUAUGCCGGGUGCUUACUUGAGCAAGAAGCCAAGUCAUCGAUAAUCAAAGAAAGGUGUGAGUGAACGAGCCCAACUUUCCGAUUCAAAUAUGACUCCUUUCCACUUUCAACAAAUAGAGAAAUCUCCGCUAGGCUAGCAGUGGGUAAGCAACGUAGUGCCCCAUUCGUUCCAUGACAUCCAAUCAGUUCUCCUCGGAUUCCAAUCCAAUCUCCCAAUCAGUGAGAAAUAGACGGUCGGAUGAGAUCUCGAACGUUGUCCCUACCUACUGAGGAAUCAAAAGUGUACGUAGAAAAAGAGAGUGUUGGAAAUGCAUCGAGGAGAACUUACCUUGUGAGUCACUACUCCGGCACUGGGCAGGAAUACUACUAGCGAGGCUUAUAGGCGGCUAGUUCUUAAAGAAAUCUGUCAGCUAUAACCUAGCCUAUUGAAUCUGGUACGCCCGAAGCACGAAACUAGAUAGGUAGCCCUACCUACGACUAGAAAAGUAUCGUAUUUUUUUCUUCCAGUAAAUCUUCAUUCCUUCCAUUAUGGAAUAUCAUUUGGAGUGUAUUUUCCCUCUCAAAAAAGGCUUCGCCCUCACUUCACUGAACUUAUUGGAAAUGCCUAGGACAGAGUUCAUUCACUUGCCCAGCAGCCCUACUCCUCAUAGUUGAUCCGAAUUUCUAUCCCUGAUUGACUCAAUCAGGAAGAGGAAGACUUGAUAAAAGAUGAAAAGAAAGGAUUGAUUACCUUUUUAAGUCAAGAAAAGAAAGGAAAGGGCUAUUUAUGAGUUUAUGUAGAUGAAGUUUCAGAUUCUUGGAUGAGCGGAACAUCUUUGAGACAAAUCAUCUCUACCCGGGUACAUAGCUUCAUCCAAACCAUGGAUCCACGAAUUGUUGACUCGCUCUAGAAAAGAGCUUCGUAGUUGGGAGCUCUGAACCGAUGAUCGAUAUGGUUUCCUAGGAUGAGAACUAUGGUUUACUACUUGACAAUAAGAAAGUUGUUUUAUCUUUUUUUUCACUUUUUGAGGUGUUUUGCCUAGUCUGAAUUUCCCCUUCUUCUAUUUGAUCAAGAUGGAUAGCAAAAAAGCAUGAAUAGGCCUACUGGGAUGGAAGGAGAGAAGGACUGAACGAGAAAAGGAAAUACCUCUUUGUUUACCUUGGAAUGAAUUGCUCAACUACUUAGGUAACGAAACGAAACGUUCAUCUACGAUCUUUCUUAAAAAAAGAUAGGACUAUACGGCAGUUCUCGUUAGUAGAUUCGCAGAACAGAAGAAGAAGUUCACUCUGACUUGCGCACUACAAAAAGGCAGCCAACGACUUCGGACGUACUCCGUCUUUCGAGCCUCUGUUUAGCUUCAAAAGAUAAGGCGCUAGUGCAACGAACGCUGCUUUGGUGCGUCCCACCCCAACUAACUAGUGCUUGACUUGACUUUCCCCCGCGCCCUAUCCAAUGAAUAAGGAGAAGGCCGGCCUAUCAAUGACCGAGCCAGUCUGAUCUCCUUUAUACUUACCUCAAACAACGAGCGAAGUCGAGAUGUUGAUGAGAAAGGGGCUUUUCUCAAGGCCAAAGAGUGCUCUUUGAAGGCUACUAUGCAUCCUUACGAAUACAAGAGUGGUUUUUUUUGUUUUGGGUAUAGCAGGACUUGAACCUGCGACCAUUAGGUUAAAAGCCCAAUGCUCUACCAACUGAGCUAUACACCCGAUUUUACAAGAAGGCUUGGUGCGGAAAAGAAAAGAGGGCGGCCUGGCCCCUUUUCUUCUUAUCAUAUCACAAGGGCGCGGCUCUGUAUGGUAUAGUACUGUGGAGCAAGUCUGGGAGUCCUUUCCACUCAUUGAGGAUUCUAUCUAAAAAAGAAGGUCAACGGGGGAGACUACUUUGAAGUCCGGGCUGAACAAACUACUUCUCAUGCUACCAAAACAGAGAAAUAAGGAAAUAAGAUGGAUUCAUCUAAUAAAAUACCCAAUGCCUGUAGUUGAAGAAUUGUUGGAUGAGUUAUCUUGUGCUGUUUGGUUUACUAAGCUGGAUCUGAGAGCUGGUUACCAUCAGAUAAGAUUACAUGAAGCAGACGAAUACAAAACGGCAUUCAAGACCCACGUCACUAUGAAUUUUAGGCUAUUUGGGCUCACAAAUGCACCACCCACCCUCCAGAGUGCUAUGAACACAAUUCUGGCUGAGCUGACUAGGGUUUGUGUACUUGUUUUUGUUGAUGACAUCUUAAUCUACAGCAAAUCCUUGCAAGAUCAUGUCACCCAUUUGCAGCAAGUAUUUGACCUUCUGAAGCAGAAUCAACUAUAUGUGAAGUUGAAUAAAUGUUCAUUUGCUCAACCACAGAUAGAAUACCUGGGUCAUGUCAUUAGUGGGCAAGGGGUGGCUACAGACUAAAAGAAGAUCCUCACAGUGAAAGAGUGGCCUACUUCCAAGUCAAGCACAUUAGAGUUUGGGCUUAGCAGGACAGGCGUUUCAUUCACAGGAGCUUAGCUCAUUUGACUGCUCAAAGACUUAAAACACCAAUGCAGCACAAAGCUUUCCUUUCCUCAAGCUCAUGGGAUUACAAUAUACCAUCCAAUAAAAGGCCCAAAGAAUAGGGCAGCUGAUGCACCACUAUCUAGAUUACAUGAGCCAGAUGAACUCAAUGCCAUUACUUCCUGUCAACCACAAUGGCUCACUGAUAUUGUUGCAGGGUACAACAAAGACACAUUCACCCAGAAUUUACUAUCUGAAUUGGCAGUCCUGAGCACUCACAAGAAUAGCAAAUAUUCAUUGCAUAAUGGGGUCAUUCGAUAUAGAGGAAGAGUAUGGGUUGGUGCAAACUUCUAAAUGAAAAAAAACAUCUUGCAAGCACUUCAUGCCAGUGGUAUUGGUGCCCACUCUGGCAUUACUGCUACUUAUCACCGCAUCAAGGCACUAUUUGCUUGGACAGGAAUCUUUCAAUCAGUGGAAUCUUUUGUCAACAAGUGUCAAAUCUGUCAGCAAGCUAAGGUAGAACAUUAAAAACUCCCUGGCCUCUUCGAUCCUCUACCCAUUCCUGAUGAAGCAUGGUCCAUUAUCAGCAUUGACUUCAUCACUGGAUUACCAAAGUCCCAUUACUAUGAUUCAAUUCAGGUGGUGCACGAGACAAGCCAAACAAACAGAAACCGAAUUAAUACCGAAGAACACAAGCUGUGGGCCGUAAAGUGGAAACGAUUGCAGGCCAAAGCUGUCCCCCUUUGCCACUAAGACUUGAAUCUUUAACCAUCGGAAUACCCGGUACUCUCUCUACCAAACAGGCAAGAUAGUCUUAUCUUGAACUCUGUCCCUUCUCUAAUGAUUGACAGGUUUAGUGCCUGGUAGUAAGGGUAUUUUGUGGUCUAUUGUCCUCCUAGGAGGUCACUCUGUAGGCUCAGCAAACAAUUCACUGAAGCCAUUCAAGACCGGUUGCAGGGCAGACAGACCAUUGACUUGACAUGACCGUAAUACAUACAGAAUAGGAAGGAUAAGCUAUAAGAUAGAGAUCCGGAUUGUUGUGCUCCGGAAUAAAGAAGAAUACCAUCUUGUCUAAUCAAAUACGAAUACCAUCUUAUUGAUUUAGUCAGCUUGCAUCAACACAUAAGAUGUGAUAUGAGUAGUGGGAAAUAAACUCUUCUUUGAUCACUUGAAACAUAGUAGAAAGCAUCCAAAACAGAAUGAAAUGCUGUUCAAAAGAAGAAGCUACCUGGCCCAACCACUACACCAUUUUGCCUAAUGUGUGACUACCCAUAUCAGUUACAACAUCUUCCGUUUCCAAGUUUUCAGUGCCUUUUUCUUAUAGUAUACAAAAUAGGAUUCUGGAUUGCUCUUCAUUUCGUUCAAUUUAUCCCCUUGCUUUUCAACGUAUAUAUAUUAACCCGCCUUGUUUACCUAUUUCUUCUACAAUUCACAUGACUCAUUGAAACCAACUUUCUCCUUCCUACAUUUUAUCUCUACAGCAGUUAUCCUGUAUAAUGAUUUCUUUUUGGUCGCUACUCUCCUAACCGAUGAGUCGGAGAGGAUACGAAUGUCCAUUCACCCUACCACCCAUCUUCCUUCUAGCUUCCUUGAUCAACGACAAGUAAAGAUCCCGGAAAAGAUCCAAGGGAGUACAAUACACUUUAUAUUCACGUCUUGAAUAAUGAGGGGGGUAAAGAAGAAAGUCCGAUUUCUCUCUCCUUUGCGGAUAUGCCCUUAUUCAGCUCUUGAAAGAAAGAGAGAUAGAAAGAGAGAAUGAUCAAACUCAACUAGACGGCAGUUCCUCUUGUUCAAACCUCUCUUGCCGAGUCUUCUCCUCAUAGCGAGUUUCGCUCUCGCUUCGCGUGUCCUAAACAUAAAAAAACAAAGAAUUGAUUGUGAAAGACAAGUGUUUCAUUCCCCUCCCUAAUCGUUGAAAUUCGAACUGUCCGCUAGCUCCUCCUUUGUUUGGAUUAUAGCCCUUCCUUGGGGAUUUACUAUCCAAAGUCAAUCUUUCCAGUUUCAAAUGCUACUAUUUCUUCGUGGGUAGAAAGUCCAAAAUCUUCUUUUUCCGGUACUCCUUACUCUUUUCUCCCGUCGUCCUACUUUCACUUCUACGGACCUUCUAUCCAUAACGAGUUCCAGGAUUGGUGAAUCGAUGUGGGAAUAGAUAAAACGAUUGUUGAGUACACAGUAUAACCGUGUAGCUCAUCCAGAAGAUCAUCAAUGACCGGUAUCGGGUAUUUCUUUUUUACGGUUUGCGCAUUGAGUUGCCUAUAAUCCAUAGGCGCCACGAACCUUCUUUCUUCUUGUAAAGAAGAGCCGGUGAGGCAUGAACUAGGUUGUAGAGUACCAUUCUAGAGUAACUCCUGGAUUAUGGCUUCAAUUUCAUCCGGUGGUGUGAAUACCUAUAAGGCCUUUGAUUCACUGGUUGACUAUCGUGAGGUGAAUCCGAUGGUCACAUGGUCUUUUAGGAGGGAGGGUAGUGGGUUCUAAGAACACAUCAGAGAAAGAGGACCAAACCUGCUUGAGUCCUCUUCUACAUCUUGAGUACUUCCCACUCCAAUGGAUCUAGUUUUUAGAAUAGCUUUGAUCCGGCCAUGUAGAGCACUCAUAGAGGUCCGGCUUCACGUCAGUAAUCUACCACACCCAUGCUAGAAUUCAGUAGAGUCCCCACUCGCCAACCGCGAUGUCUUGGUUGAGAGGCCCCACCUACCCAUCUUCCCACAGUUUCACUGAGGUAGUACCAUCCCCAAUUCGCCACUUCUUGUGUUGAUGUACUAAGAAAUUGGUUGAGGCAAUCGACUUCAAUCAGAGGAAGCACUUGUGCACAUCAACUUAGGAUAUCCCCUCCGUUCUACACCAGAUUAUGCACUCACCUCUGGUAUAAUAUAGGAAAGGAAGACGCCCUUUCAGUGCACGCCAAAGCAGCUUUGCCUAGAAGGCUUCGAAAUACACUACUAGGUCCCUCAUUCUCAGUCGGCCUUCACAAAGCGGUUUGCACACCUUGGACCAGCUGGAUAGAUGUUCCGGCCUUUCUCCUAUUAAAUGCAUCUGCCACCUUAUUUUCCAUUUUACCCCUAAUAUUCCGCCUUUGAAAGUCAAAACUCACACUUGCUCAUCUUAGCAUGUAGCUGAUUCCGCAGAAAAAGUGUUAGCUGCAAGUGCUGUUGAUGCUCCUUCAGUGUUUUACUGUCAAGAAGUAUAUCAUCAAACCAACACAAAUCUUCUGGGCUUGAACACAUCAUUCAUGAGUGCUUGAAACGUUGCAGGAGCAUUUGUAAGCCCGCAUCACAUUGAAUUCAUAGUUACAGGGUUCUGAAUGAAGUUUUGGGCUUGUCUUCCUCUCUCAUCCUGAUCUGAUGAUAGCCAGAUCUUAAGUCAAUCUUGCUGUAAUAUUUAGCACCACUCAUCCAAUAGGGCAUCUAUGUGCCGGAAUUGGGUAUUUCUUCUUUACUGUACUGGCAUUCAGCUGCCUGGUUUCAAUGCACAUCCUCCAUGUCCCAUCCUUCUUCUUCACUAACAGCACAGGUGAAGCAAAGGGGCUAGUAGAGGAUUGUAUCAGUGAAUUCUUCAUCAAUUCCUCAAUUCUCAAUCUCAGCCUUUUGCAGAUGUGAGUAUCCGUAUGGCUUCAGAUGUUUGGGCUCAGUACCUUCGGGGGUAUAUAGUGAUCAUGGAUUCUUUUUUUUGUAAGGACUUAGGUUCUUGAAACACCUACUCUUAAGAGUUCAGUAGGGUUGAAAUUGGAUCAGAGAUCAGAGAUGUUAGGUUUACUGAGUUGACCAUGCACCAUUGAGCCAUCAUGCAGAACUAAGCUUGUUCUGAUUUAGUAGCAAUCAGCUCUUCUCCUUCCACCUGGUACAGCUUUCCUCCUCCCCUCUUGAUUCCUUCCAGCACCACUUAAACACUGCGGAAAGGGUUUUGACCAGCUAGUCAGAUUGCCCCAUUACGGGUGUGUUACGCCAGAAAGUUCCUCAAUCCUGUGCCUGUUCCCGAGCGAGUCAGUCCCAUUUCGAUGACGAACGACACGAUGUGUGCCUCCAUAGAGCUUCCCAUUUGACAUUUCUCCAUCGCGAGAGAUUCUCUCCAGCCACAGGUUCCCCAGUGGUACGUCCGGGGUCGGUUCAAUCAGUGCGCUAUCAGUCCAGUACCAUUAGCUCUCCAAGGGUCGCAAUCCAUUCUUUCCGGGCAAGCCAGUUCAGUUCCUUUCUGGUAGCAAGAGAUCCCAUAUCAGAUUAAGUAAAGGGAUUACCUAGCUAGCGCAUAUCGAAGAGUUGGAGACUUCCUGCCACUAUAGAAAAAGCCGUUGAUGGAUCAAUUUCUGUAGGUGGGUCUCAACUCGGAUCGAGACAUUCGGAUUUGCCGAUGAAGAGUACUGCCUUGGAGGGGUAGGGGUUGUAGGGGAAGAACCAACCUUUUGUAGGUAGCAAAACAUCUCACUCAGUAACUAAAUUAGAGUUCGAUCUUUUACGUUUGUGUUGUCUUUUUGCAUUUUUGUUUCGAUCCGACAUCAGAUCUGAGUUAUUGUUCACUGACUAUAUCUUAGACCAUUGCGAUCUCUUUCUUUCACUUGGUUUUUCUUCCUUCCCUUCGGUACUCCUUAACUCGGAGAUACUCCUUCGGUACUACUUGGCUACUACUUGAACAGAUGGGUUUAGUCCCUUCCUUCGGGCAACGUUUUCUCCGGGUACCACCGGCUUACCACCAGACGCUUUUGAUAUAGGUUCUUUUACUGUAGGGCCAGAUCAUGCGAAGAGCUCUUCGCCCUAUUGAUUAGGAAUCUCGAUCAGAAACCACCAGGCCAUGUCUCCCGAUAAAAGAUGAUCCCCACAAUGGAUGUCAGGCCUUGGCUUUAUAAAAUCUGAUUGGAUCCGCACUAGAGGAUAAGAAUACAGAUAGGCUGACUAAGAAGAUCUUCAAAUUGUCUUACCUGAAAAGAUGAGUUAUUCAAAGGAAUACCUGAAGAAUAGAAUAGAAUAGAAUAAACACAUGGCACAGCUGGGUGCUAGAAUAGUAGUUGAUAGAAGCUCUAGUCACUUAAAAAAAAAUAACCACUGCUUAACUUAAUUAGAUCGUAGAAGAUAAGCAAGCGGGUUCGGGCAGUUAGUCCUAUUUGAAGGCAAGAAGUUCAGGUAGUAAGGGCUAGGUUUAUAUAGGGGCUCUAUUUUUGAUAAACAUAUGGUCUUUCUCAUUUCUCAUCAAGGAAUUUAGAUUGGGUUGGUGUUUGGAAGGGGGAUUCAGUAAACUGACCUUGGCCAGCAAGCAGAAAAAGGACUGACGUCUUGGGGCGCGCUAGCGCGCGUACUCUUCUUCUGCGAGACUCCAUCCAAAUCCACCACUUACUUGUUGGUUGGUGUUCCAUUCUGUUAUCUUAGACUAUGCUGCCUUCUUCAAUUCCAUUCUUCGUCUCCCUAGUCGAAGUCUUCUUGCUGGCCCAACCCAACAUGCAUUUUAGAGUGCCGUGCCAGGGCGAUAGGCGCUCCGCCAGUCACGCAUGAUCGCCAGAGCCUUUCUUGGCUAUGUAAAUAUAGGGCCGGAAUAAGUGCAAGAUCCUCAACAAAAUGGAUUAAGGUGGGCUUCGGAUUUUUCAUAAUUUUUUUCUAUCUUUUCAUCAAGUUCUUGUUUGAUCUGCCGCUAUUAUCACAAUAUCCCUCCUUUUAGGGUUAAUGCUAUCAAUGGUGAAUCGAUCAUUCGCUAUCCUUUUUUUUAGAAGAGCUUUUUUGAAUGGAAGAAAAGUAAUGAAACCCGCGAUGGCUACUGAAUAACCUCCUUUGAUUUUUUUUUAUAAUAAACCCUUUGACCUUUUUCUUCGUUCGCCAAAUCUUCUUCAGUUCUAUCCAAGCUCGGUUUUGUCUGAAUCUUUGUGGAAGAAGAAGCGGUUCGCCAGCCGCUACAUCCAGGGAUCCCACAAAAUCAUUAAACCUGGCGGCUGCUCGCUCUUUGAUCAGUGAUUCACCGGCCACUAGAUCGAUGAAGAAUCUCUCAAAAAUCCGCUUUUUGAUCAGUGAUUCACCAGCCACUACAUUCUUGGAUCCCACCUUAUUCUCAAACCUGGUGGCUCGCUUGAUUGGCAGUCCUGUAAGCUCAUCUUGCAUACAAAUUUUGGGGGUACCAGGGCCUGCAUCCACCAAGAACAUUUCUUCCCUUAAGCGUAAGCGUAAAACUGAAGAUUGUGAGGCGUUUCCACUACAUAAUAAGAAACUAGAAUUAGAUCUUGGAAAUGAUCGACUCCAAUAGAUGCUCAUCAUAAGCUUUUUUUCCUCCUAUUCCUAUUGAUCAGAAGUAUCCAGCAGCGCCACGCCAGAGUGACUUCCGAAGCGCUAUGGACGGGACGAAAUCCGGCAGCCAGUUGCUGGCUCUGAAUAACCAGCCCAGCAAGAAGCUAAAUUCUUCCAUAACAUAACAUAACGGGGCGGGGUUGCGUGCGAGCCGAGUGACGUAGGUGCACAAGAGUACUUCGCGCCACAACCAUCUCUUUUUUAUAGGUUCUACGGACCGAUGCCUCCUGCUUCAUCUGGUAAAAAAGAGUCAUAGAUAUGCCUGUAAUUAGAAGGAAGAACCGCCAUAAAAAUCUUCCUCGUGUAUCGUCUGUAGCGGAACUAUGAACGGGAGCUAGCAAUCCGGACCGUAUUGAAAAGGUUCCUAAGACACAGCAUGGAAGAGUCAAAAUAUUCAGAAGCGAGGUCCAAGAAUGAAGAAGGGGUAGAAUUACUGAAUGAAUACGAGCUGUGGCUAAUACCCGAGGCAUAAAAGACGCAUUUUCUACGGGAUCCCGAAACCACCAGCCACCCCGACCUAAUUCAUGAUGAGCCCACCAACUUCCUGGCGAGAUGCCUACGGUUAAAAACAACCGACAUGUCAAGAUCCAAAUUCGAAUUGGUUCCUGGUCCUGGUCAGAGACCACCGUGUUCGCGCCGGCGGUCCAACAAAGAGGCGAAGUAGCGGUGUCUUUCUUUCCAUUACGAACGACACACUUCGCCUGCUCCCUCCCCGUGUCCAUUAGCGCUCCUGUCCAGAGCGAAGAGAAGGCGAAAAAGCGCCGCCGAAGCAGCAUGAGCAGGCUUCUAUUGCUACGCAACAAUAGAGCAGGCGCGCCGCCCACAAAAUGUUUGAAUGAUCGGGUAAAGAGCGAGCUUCUUAUAUGGGAUCCGACGCAUCCAGCAGAGCGAAGCAGCGUUCCAUUCUUUUCGGCGGCAUCCUUCCGCAUUGGCGGCGAGUGGAGUGCCACAAUCCCAUUCAUCAUUUUUGAUCUACAUAACCCAAAGCCCAUAGCACUGGCGACAUCUCCGGCAUAAAUGCAAGGAGGAUGUAUAGCUGAUAUAGGAUCUUGUGGAACUGGAUUUGAUUCUGCAAGCGGUUCGGUACGAACGAAGAAAUUUCGAACAAAAGGAUCGGAACUCGCUGAUAGGAAAGGAGAGAAAAACAAAGCAAUGCCAAGAGCUCCGUCAAUCUGCUGUUCAUCGAUAGACGAAGCUCUCUCUUUUUCAUCUCGUGCCAGAUGUAACAAAAGAUUAGUCCUUUUUCCUUCUCGCGAACCACGGGAGCGCCCAGCGCCCAGAAGAGCAAAGCUCAUUUUCAAAACAGGGUCAAGCGGCGCAUUAAAAAGGGCUGGCCCGUUAAAAGGAUGCUUACUUUGCGAACGAAGUUCAGAAUCAACAAGGGUUCUCCGAACGAAGGGAGUGUACAACUGGGGCGCAGCCCAACUUUUUUGUUAGAGAGAUAGAAUGGAGUUCUUCACGAAGUUCGAGACAAAGGAAAAAAUCAAAGUUUCUCUAUAGCCUCUUCGUUUUGAGACAUUAUGGCUUUGGGGUCGACCCCGGUAACAAAAAAGGAAUCCAUAAAAACUUGGGAUCCAACACCAUGAUAAAAUACUACCCUCAUGAUUAGACCAUGUCCCUGAGAUUUGAUAAAAAAAGGUGCAUUAGCGGUUAAUACGUUGUAAUUAGAUAAGUUAUUUGGAAUAUGACGGAACGAAAGACCAAGGAAAGGAAGAAGAAUGCACCAAAAUGCAAGUGCUGCACCAAACGCUGGUGGUUGUUUCUUGUUGUAAGUGAAUGCAACGAAAAGACCCGGAAAUAACGAAUAAUGAGAAAAUUCAUUUAUAGACAUUUCGUGCUCAUUUCCAAAUUUAUGCUUAGUUAUUCCCAUCAUCCGGUAACCACAGGAUGAUCCCAAUCUCCUUUUAGUAAUAGAUCUUUUUGAUAUGUCUCAGUCUCAGCGGCAAGGAAGAGAAAAUGCAUCGAGUCGUUUAUCAAGAAAGUGGACGAGCAUGGCGGUCCCUAUAUCUCUGAGGGGUGUGCCACUUUUUUUUUCAAGUCAGCUUAAGAGGUUCAAAAGAGAAAGUCACUCUCCUUAUUCUUGGCUAGUGGAAUGGAAGCAAGACUCUUUCCUAUCCACUUUGCCGAGGGGAGAGAACUAAAAGAUAACUCAAGCUAGACAGAAAGGUGCAAAAGUCCACAGUUUCUUAAGGAUCCUGUAAGCAAGUAGGUUAAGAUUGUCAUUUAGCUUCAAUUUCUUCAGUCUCACAAGCGGGUCCGCAUGCAACAAAAGAAAUUGUAUUUUCCUACUACUCCGACCUUGCCCUGAAAGGAUAAGGAAAUUGGAUAAGAGCGAGAGCUAGACUGACUGUUGGUCCAAUGCUAGUGGAGGAUUCAGACUGAGGACCCCCUGUGGCGGCUACUCAUAAGAAGAUGAAGGAUUGAAAGAGGACUGAUCACCCCUCUGAUUUGUGAUCUUUUAAUAGAAAGAAAAAGCCUUCUCUCAGACUUAAAGGUAAAUGAAAGCGGGAUUUUUUUUCUCUCCUCUAAGCUAGCAGCAAGUCAAGUAAUCUGAGAAUGCUGCCCCCAAUCCGUAGCUGAGGACGAACUCAACUCAUAAGCUUUUUUUGAACCAAGCACCUGUUGUAGAAAUGAAAAACCACCCACUAGCAGAGGCUGGAACAACCCAUAGAAGUGUAGGGGCUGCUUCAACCAGGCGUACCCGUAUCCAUUGAUUUACCUCCUCUAGAGAGUAUUGAACUUUGUGACAAAUAGGUUCUAGUUACACUCCUUAACUCCCUAUUCGCGAGAUAAAAAAGCUAGCUAGUAAGAAGACUUUCCCUUCUUUUCUGGGAGGGUGAGAACUUGAAAGACUGGCAGAGAAAAGGAAGAAAAGGCUAAUGCUAUCUAAACGAUUAUUUCAAAGUUUACCAAGUUCAAUCGUUCACGAGACAGGGGACUCUUUUAAAUAAGACAGUGUAUGGCUGCGAAUAAGUCUAUUCGGCAAGUCAUAGAGAAGGACUGGAUAUAAGCUAUUCCCCGGUUCUUCAUUGGAUCCUUUUAGUUUAAUAUUACUUUUUGGAAGCAAUCUCAUAAUAAUAUGUAUUAGGGACAGCAUUUAGGAUAGCAAAAGCAUUUUUGGAGCAAGAGGGAUUACCUUCCAGAUUCUUUUGUGAUAUCCUCUGUGUCGCCUUCUCCUGGAUGGUCAGCCCAGUGUCCUGAAUCCUUGAGCUCUUCCUCAUGGCUUUGACUGGUGACUUACAUUUCAUCUUAUUUGCUGCUCUCUUGGUCCUUGGAUAUGAUGUCUUCUGCCACUCUCCUUGGUGGCUAUUCUCCACCAUCUCAGUCCCCUCUGAGGUCAGCUGAAUCUGAUCAGUGGCUGUCUCUGCCUAAUCCACCAAGUGUGUACAAGACAAGAUCUUUGUCUGUCACAGGUUCUCCUGCUGCUGCAAGUUGAUCAGACUGGAAUUUGAUCCUGCGCAGAUAAUCUUGAGCAGUCUGGGAUCCUUUCUUGAUCGUUUGGAUCUGAAUACGCAGCUCAUUUAUUUUAGCAUUUGUCAUACAGCCAAGACUUCCGGUUUUUUUUUCAGGUUUUCUCCCUUUUCUACGAAGGUUUGCUGCUCCGCCUACACCAGUGAAUUAUUCUAUUCUUCUCCUUUGGUUCAGUCUGUGGGGAAAUCAGAAUUCACCAUUGAAUCCUGUGGAUCAGCUCCCUUACAUAAUAAUAUUUAACUGUAUCAGCUACGAGGGGAAAAUCUGAAAGACAGAGGAUAGAGAGUGAGAGAAAGAGUGUGAGACUUGCGCCGCUCUCCAUUUCGAGGGGAUUUCGACGAUUCUGGGGUGAUUGAACUAUUUCUUUACCUGUUCAAUUUCUAACGAAUCAAGAUAUCCUCUUGUUCCGGUAUAAAUAGUAGCUAUCUGCUCUUCCACUGGGAGAGGAUUUGCCUGGGAUUGUUUAAGCAAUUCCCUUAAUCGUCGACCCCUUGCCAAUUGAUUCUGACUUGUUUUAUCGAGAGCAGAGGCGAAUUGUGCAAAGGCUUGUCACUCUGCGAAUUGAGCUAGUUCCAAUUUGGAUUUGCCAGCUACUUGUUUCAUGGCUUUAAUUUGAGCCGCGGAUCCUACUCUGGAAACAGAAACACCCACAUUAAUAGCGGGUCGAAUUCCGGCAUUGAAUAGAUCCGCAGAUAAGAAUAUUUGUCCAUCUGUAAUGGAGAUUACAUUAGUAGGAAUAUAGGCGGAAACGUCUCCAGAUUGAGUCUCAACUAUUGGUAAAGCGGUCAUACUUCCUUCGCCUAAAAGAGAAUUUAAUUUAGCGGCUCUUUCUAAAAGGCGUGAAUGCAAAUAAAAAACAUCCCCUGGAUAAGCCUCACGGCCGGGAGGUCUUCUUAAUAGAAGGGACAUUUGGCGAUAAGCUUGUGCCUGUUUGGAGAGAUCAUCAUAAAUUAUUAAAGUAUGCCGUUCGCGGUACAUAAAAUACUCAGCCAGGGCUGCUCCCGUAUAAGGAGCGAGGUAUUGUAAUGUAGCAGGUGAAUCCGCCAUUUCAGCUACUACAAUAGUGUAUUCCAUGGCCCCCUCCUCAUGGAAAGUAGUUACUACUUGAGCUACGGAGGAUGCUCUUUGACCGAUAGCUACAUAAACACAUAUUACACCUUGCCCUUUUUUCUUUAGAAUUGUAUCUGUGGCUACUGCUGUUUUGCCAGUCUGUCUGUCCCCAAUAAUGAACUCUCGCUGACCGCGCCCUAUAGGGAUCAUCGAAUCGAUAGCAAUAAGCCCUGUUUGAAGAGGUUCGUAUACGGAACGCCUGGAAAUUCUACUUGGAGCAGGAGAUUCAAUUAAGCGAGAUUCGGAAGCUACAAUUUCGCCUCUCCCAUCAAUAGGUUUAGCCAGAGCAUUUAUAACACGACCCAAGUUAUAUACGCUCACGGGUAUCUGAGCAAUUCUUCCUGUUGCUUUUACAAAACUUCCCUCUUGAUGCUAAACCAUAGCUCUAACUGAGUCAAAUUCCACAAUUUCUAAGAACGAUAUGCUUUUUUGCAUUUUCCACUGUGAAAGCUUCUCUCAAUCCCUCCCUAGUCCUUUCUUUCCUGGGCACAGGCUUACCUGGUUGACCGCCCACAUUCAUUCAUUGUUCGUUCUGUUGUGGAAUCGAACCACAGAGCUAGCGCAAUUGGGAUUUAGAGUCCCAUGCGUGAAACUAAAGAGGAUUUUCAGUCCUCUGCUCUACCAGCCAGAAACUAGAAGGACAC